GUCCUUUAGGAAAAUAAUUUAAGGUCUAAUCUGCCCACUGAUUAAUUGAAUGGCCGCAGUAAUUUGACUGUGCAAAGGUAGCAUAAUCAUUAGUUUUUUAAUUAAAAGCUUGUAUGAAUGAUUGGACGAGAUAAAAUCUGUCUCUUAGUUAAAAUUAGAAUUUAAUUUUUAAGUUAAAAAGCUUAAAUUUUUAUAAAAGACGAGAAGACCCUAUAGAUCUUUAUUUAUUUAAGUUAAAAAUUUUAUAAAGAUUAUUUUAUUAUUUUUAAUUUAAUAAAUUUUAUUGGGGUAAUAAAAAGAUUAAAUAAAUUCUUUUAAAAUUUUUACAUUGAUUAAUGAUUUUUUGAUCCAUUAUUAGUGAUUAUAAGAUUAAGUUACCUUAGGGAUAACAGCGUAAUUUUUUUAAAGAGUUCAUAUCGAUAAAAAGGAUUGCGACCUCGAUGUUGGAUUAAAAGUAAUUUCAGGUGCAGAAGUCUGAAGUUUUGGUCUGUUCGACCAUUAAAUUUUU
rnacentral:rRNA from 2 species